rnacentral:rRNA from 1 species
AUUGAACGCUGGCGGCAUGCUUUACACAUGCAAGUCGAACGGCAGCGCGGGCUUCGGCCUGGCGGCGAGUGGCGAACGGGUGAGUAAUGCAUCGGAACGUGCCCAGUAUUGGGGGAUAGCCCGGCGAAAGCCGGAUUAAUACCGCAUACGACCUGAGGGUGAAAGCGGGGGACCGAAAGGCCUCGCGCUAUUGGAGCGGCCGAUGUCGGAUUAGCUAGUUGGUUGGGUAAAGGCUUACCAAGGCGACGAUCCGUAGCUGGUCUGAGAGGACGACCAGCCACACUGGGACUGAGACACGGCCCAGACUCCUACGGGAGGCAGCAGUGGGGAAUUUUGGACAAUGGGGGCAACCCUGAUCCAGCCCUGCCGCGUGCGGGAAGAAGGCCUUCGGGUGGUAAACCGCUUUUGUUCGGGAAGAAAUCCUCUGGGCUAAUACCCCGGGGGGAUGACGGUACCGGAAGAAUAAGCACCGGCUAACUACGU